rnacentral:lncRNA from 1 species
UUACUCUUUGCCGCCUGCCUCCCUGCUGCCUUCCGAAGGGCUCUCUCUCUGGCAAAGCAGGACAAGUCCAUCAGCAUCAUGUAGUCUCUGCCACAGGACCAGUAAUGUGAUGGUUGCACACUUGACAGUGGACUCGGGGUAACUUCUCAAGUUGUCGCAACUUCUUUGUGUGUCUACGGAGUCUUAUAGCAGGGCCACAAAUUAGGUGAAGCCAGGUCGUGUGCUGAGGGAGACCUGUGAUGCUUGAGGAAGGCUCUGCUGGGAAGCAAAACCCCACCUGGGCUGCAGCACCAGGAUGCGGCAUCGCUCCCACUCCUGCUGCCAGAUUCUCCAGGGCAGAGCCAGCUGGGAACAGGAAGAAAGCUCAGGCCCAUACAUCAGUAACGGGUGGAUGGGGAGAAUGGGUGGCAGGUGCCAAUUUUGUAAGCCAAUGAACAUCUGUGUUUAGGUACUGCUUUCAAGCCCAUGCAGCAUCUGCAUUUCCAGUGAAAGGCACCAGCAUCUUGCUCUCUUCCAUGUCUAUAACAUUGCUUAAUGGGUUGGAGGUAAAUGUAACAGGGAAGGAAUGAAAAGACGGAUUCUCAAAUGGAUUAAGGUACAGUAAAGCACUGUUUGAAAACCUGAAUAUAGCUUCUCAUUAAUUAACACUACAGCUGUAUGAACAUCGUCAUAAUAAGUGCUGGAAGGAGCACUGUCUUGUAGGGAAAACAGUUCAUGAUUCUUCAAAUAGCUUUCUGUGUAGACUUAAACAAAAAGCCAUUUACUCCUCUGUGCCUUAAUUUUUACCUCUGAUUAGAGACAUUAUGAUUAAAGCUGAUGAAACAUUUUCAAAUUGGUGACUGGAGAAGUUGGUUCUGGCUAAAAGGACUAAUGGAAUAUUUCACAUCUGUUCCUCUGAUGGGAUCAAGCCAAGUUGUCUAUUUCUAAAGGAUAGAAAAGGAUUUAUUUGAAAUUUAUAUAUUUUAAUUUCAUGUUACACUCAUAUAUAAAUUACUUACUAUAUUAUUCUAUUGAAUUGCUGAAUAUCAGAUGUAUACCCUGUAUGUAUUAAAGCAUUUUAAUAUCACGCCUUAAUGUUUUUUACAUUAAAUCAGUGAACUAGUUUUUUAUUUGUUAAUUAAAUGUUUCAGCUUUGUCAGAACUAAAUACUUUUGCAAAGUUAUUGGAAAGUUCUUUUCUGCCCUUUAUCUUCUGAUUUUGAAACACCU